GAUGAACGCUGGCGGCGUGCCUAAUACAUGCAAGUAGAACGCUGAAGGAGGAGCUUGCUCUUCUGGAUGAGUUGCGAACGGGUGAGUAACGCGUAGGUAACCUGCCUGGUAGCGGGGGAUAACUAUUGGAAACGAUAGCUAAUACCGCAUGACAACAGUUAUUGCAUGAUAACUGUUUAAAAGGGGCAACUGCUCCACUACCAGAUGGACCUGCGUUGUAUUAGCUAGUUGGUGAGGUAACGGCUCACCAAGGCGACGAUACAUAGCCGACCUGAGAGGGUGAUCGGCCACACUGGGACUGAGACACGGCCCAGACUCCUACGGGAGGCAGCAGUAGGGAAUCUUCGGCAAUGGACGGAAGUCUGACCGAGCAACGCCGCGUGAGUGAAGAAGGUUUUCGGAUCGCAAAGCUCUGUUGUAAGAGAAGAACGAGUGUGAGAGUGGAAAGUUCACACUGUGACGGUAUCUUACCAGAAAGGGACGGCUAACUACGUG
rnacentral:rRNA from 1 species